rnacentral:pre_miRNA from 1 species
GAUAUACUCCCUCCGUUCGGAAUUACUUGUCGCGGAAAUGGAUGUAUCUAGACGUAUUUUAGUUCUAGAUACAUCCAUUUCCGAGACAAGUAAUUCCAAACGGAGGGAGUAGUAG